rnacentral:rRNA from 1 species
UACCAGCACCCCGAGUGGUCGGGACGAUUAUUGGGCCUAAAGCAUCCGUAGCCGGUUCUGCAAGUCUUCCGUUAAAUCCACCUGCUCAACAGAUGGGCCGCGGAGGAUACUACAGGGCUAGGAGGCGGGAGAGGCAAGCGGUACUCAGUGGGUAGGGGUAAAAUCCUCUGAUCCACUGAAGACCACCAGUGGCGAAGGCGGCUUGCCAGAACGCGCUCGACGGUGAGGGAUGAAAGCUGGGGGAGCAAACCGG